rnacentral:pre_miRNA from 1 species
CAUAUACUCCCUCCGUCCGGAAAUACUUGUCCGAGGAAUGGAUGUAUCUAGAUGUAUUUUAGUUUUUGAUACAUCCAUUUGUAUCCAUUUCUAUGACAAGUAUUUCCGGACGGAGGGAGUAAGUC